CAGGCUGGGUGAUCGCCGUUCUUCUAUUGUGGAAGGAGGGAGGAAAGUCCGGGCUCCUCUGGGCAGGGUGCUGGGUAACGCCCAGGCUUCUAGCGUCUGCGGUAACGCUCCGUUAGGAGACGGAAAGUGGCACAGAAACAUACCGUCCUUCUAUCUCUAGAAGGAUAAGGGUGAAAUCGGACGGUAAGAGCGUCCGACCGUUCGCGGCGACGCAACGGUGGCUAAACCCCACCUGGAGCAAGGCCAAAUAGGGGGACAUAGGCGCCUGGCCAGUCCCCGGGUUGGCCGCUUGACUGCGACGGUAACGUCGUUCCGCCAAAAGCGGACAUACGCCGGCUUAACCGCCGGCGUUUGGGCUAGAUAGAUGAUCACCACCUUCCCCUUGCGGGGAGGAUACAGAACCCGGCUUACAGGUCUGC
rnacentral:RNase_P_RNA from 1 species